UACAGAGGCCUCAAGCGUUGUUCGGAUUCAUUGGGCGUAAAGGGUGUGUAGGUGGCGCCGUAAGUCAGGUGUGAAAUCUCGGGGCUUAACUCCGAAACUGCAUUUGAUACUGCGGUGCUUGAGGACUGGAGAGGAGACUGGAAUUUAUGGUGUAGCAGUGAAAUGCGUAGAUAUCAUAAGGAAGACCAGUGGCGAAGGCGGGUCUCUGGACAGUUCCUGACACUGAGACACGAAGGCCAGGGGAGCAAACGGG
rnacentral:rRNA from 1 species